AAGUUAGGCACCUCCCAUUUUCUUCAACAAAGUUGUCAACAAAGUUAGGCACCUCCCAUUUUCUUCAUUGUUUUUCUUUAAUAUGAGCCCCACAUAGUAUUGGGUAUCCCAUUAACCUAUUGUUUCUUCAUGUUCCAAUUGUCUCUUCUCUUCUUCUUACAGAUUUAUUCAUAUAUAUUUUUUCUUAUUGGUUACCCAGUUUCAGUUAAUAUAACUGAGUUGUGUGGAUCAAAAAUAUUGUGGAUUAGUGUUGUUUUGUACUAGGAUCAGGUUUUUUCUCAUGUUCCCUUCAAGACCUGUUUGGCAAAAUUUCCCCGUGAAAAGUAGACCUGUUUGUGACGAAGAUAAAUGGGGUUCAAGACACAAGAGGCAAUUUUUUUCUUUGAAACGAUCAUUGCUAGAUUAAAACAGCUGAGUUAUUUGCUCAGCCCCUCAUUGUUGUGACCUUGUGUAUACUUCAACCAAUAUCCAAAGAAGUUGUUAGCAUCCGAUUCUCACUUGAAAAAGGGGACCUAUCCAAAGUGAGUGCUGAAAAGAGCAGUUUGACGGUUUUAUAUGACCAAUGAAACUGCACCAACACUAUGGGGUGGCUUGAAAGUCUACCGAUACAAUGGCAAGUACACCGAGCAUCGGACAAUGGUUGAUGCUUCAUGCAACAUUGAUAUAGAAGAUGCUAAAUUCGUGGAGUUCAAUCCAUAGCAAUAUGGAAAAUUGACCGAGGAAUAAGGCUGAUACUAAAUUUUAGUAUGCACAUUUGGAUGUUGUGGUUGUGGGCUGACCUCCCUGUGUAAAAGGAAUAGUUGUUUGUGUAAUAUGUACAUUAUAGCGCA